CAAAGAGAAGCAGGAGCGAAGAAAGCAGUCUGUGGCAAAACCAUGAAGCCACGUUUUCCCAAUGUGCAGAUGCAUCUUUGUAUCCCUCAUCAGUUUGCAUUCACACAAGAAAACACACUGAAACAAAUAGACUCUCCCAUGUUGGCUAUGAUGGGUGACUCCUAUGACAAAACAAAGCUAUCCUAAAAGCAAGCAUUAUAAACCCAGGACAUUCAGAGUUAAGACUGUGUUUCCUUAUGAUAUGGAGAUGCACAAUUAAGGUACCAGUACAACUGUAACUCUGCCCUGUAGUGAAGCCAUGCCAUAACUAUACAAUUAUGAUGAAAGUGUGUGGUCCCUGAUUAGUUUUAGCCAAUCUUUAGCCCCAUAUGAUUUUUUCCCUCAUGGGCCUCAGUCCCACUGAGCAAAUGGGAGGAUGCUGCCAUUCUGAAAGCAGUCCUAUGGAAUCCAUAGUAUGUGGUCAUGUAAUUACAGAUUGUAUCGUUGUGCAUACACAAAACUAACAAACAAAGAUAGCCCAGGCAAUGUUAACACUGGCAUUUCCUAUCGUGGUGGUGCUUGACUUUACAGCCUUCAUUUCUUCUAACUCUGUUGUUUUGUAUGUAAUUUCCUAGGCUUUUUAAAGUGGAUACAUGUGGGAAAAGCCAACUCUGUUAUGUCCACUGUGACACUGUCCUGCCGGGAUUAUCAGCAAAAUAUGAACCCUUGAUUUCCAGCACUUCAAACAUGUUAGCUGAAUAAGCCAUUUUAUCAGCUUGUAGAAGCCAAAGGCCUUUGUGGCCAUGCCACUAGAGGGGGACAUGUAACACAGUGAAGCAGUGGGAAAUAUCAGCUCUGUUUUACGGACGUCAGAUCCGAGUACAGAGGUUUGGCUGGUGAUUUCUAGGAGACAGUGUGGCUAAAACCGAGGCCUGCUAGAGAAAAGAUCUGUGUUCUUCUCCAAGCUCUACCUGAGAUGAUUGCAUAAAACAUUGCAGGAGUGCCUUCUAUUCAAUCGUAGGAGAGGAACUUUCUAGGGUGGGCCCAAGGCCUUGCUCAGGAAUCCCACUUCACAGCUCUUAAAUAUUAACAGAAGUGCAGCUUGAGAUCCUGAUGUCCUGUCUAGGGUUGCCAGGCAUCCGGUUUUCGAUUGGAACACCCAGUCAAAAAGGGACCCUGGCGGCUCCAGUCAGCAUCACUGACCCGGGCCAUUAAAAGUCCAGUUGGCAGUGCAGCAGGGCUAAGGCAGGCUCCAUGCCUGGCUCCACGGGGCUCCCGGAAGUGGCCAGCAUGUCCCUAUGGCCCCUAGGUGCGGGAGCGGCCAGGCAGGCUUUGUGCGCUGCUCUUGCCUCAAGCACUGGUUCCACAGCUCCCAUUGGCUGGGAAUUGCGGCCAAUGGGAGCUGUGGGGGCAGGGUCUGCGGCCACGGGCAAUGCGCAGAGCCGCCUGGCCACCCCUCCACCUAGAGGCAGCAGGGACAUGAUGGCCAUUUACAGAACCACCUAAGGUAAGUGCUGCCCGGAGCCUGUGUAACCCAUGUGCCUAUUAGGGAGUUAUCUCUUUAAGAGACUCAUGGGGGGAGGAAGAAGUGAGUUGUGUCUGGGUCAUUGUUGCUAGGCAGAUUAUGCACUCCACAUCCAGAAGCUUCUGGAAUUGAGUGUGGUAGUUUUGGGUCUGCUCCAAUAGGUUCCCCCCUGGGGUCAGACUCCAUGAGGGCAAGCAGUCAGGGCAGUGCUUUCCAGAAGGUCGUGUGCCCUGUGUGAGUUUGGAGAAGCUGCCCAGGAGCACAAAGCAGGCUGUUGUCCCUAACUCUGAAGCAUUUUGCAGCAGGUUUUUCUUUAAAUCUAUACACUUGUGACUUAACUGAGUGGAUGGUUAAUCAGUUAGCUGACUGGCUAGCAGUGAUUUCAGCAGAGGAAGAGUCUGCCUGGAUUCCAGCUGAAGAUUCCUACAAGCAAGUGGAGGGAAGAUAUUGUUUUAGACUCAAUAGACUGUAUAGAUUUGGUGAUCAAAGACUCUAAUUGAGACUUACGUGAACAAAACCUAAGCUUUUGGGAACUUUCAGUUUCUUCUUCCUGUAUUUCUGUGGGGACUGAACUGUUCAGAUUUAAAUUUGUUUUUUCUUUGUUUAUGUAUAACUAUGAAGGUAAUGUCUGUGGAUUAUAAAAUAGCCAUGUCAUGCUGUAAAAAUUAGAUUAUAAAAUCUUAAGAUAAAGAAACAAAUAAAGUUAUUUAAUUAAA